rnacentral:lncRNA from 1 species
CUGGCCAUCCUCAUACCCCGUCCAAUAUGAGCGCUAAGAAUACUAUCCCUCAAUAUCAUGUCCGGUAUGAGGGUGAAACGGGUCAUCCUCAUACUCCGUAUGGUAUGAGUGUAAAAAAUACCAAUCCUCGAUACCCCGUCCGGUAUGAAACAACAUUGCAAAAUGUUCUUGUGCAGCGGCUCCGCCAGCUCACCAUCGCAACUGAGUGUUUUACUUCGGUCAACUA